AAUCCAGACAGUCGCGUACUGGCUUGACCAGUAUGAGGAAAGUCCGGGCUGCACAGGGCAAGGAUAGCAGAUAACGUCUGCCGGGGGUGACCCUAGGAAUAGUGCAACAGAGAAAUACCGCCGCGGAUUCCAUAUCUGCGGUAAGGGUGGAAAGGCGAGGUAAGAGCUCACCACGCCCCAUGGUAACAUGGGGGGUCUGUAAACUCUAUCCGCAGCAACGUCAAUAGGAGCUAUGGGCGGCCCGUCCGUUCCGACCGACGGCUUGAGGCGUGUGGCAACAUGCGUCCCAGAUAGAUGAUUGUCAAAUACAGAACCCGGCUUACAGGAUUGCUC
rnacentral:RNase_P_RNA from 1 species